CUUAAAUCAGGGUGGGCACAAAUAGUCCCCUGUGUCACAGCUGCCUGCUCCUGCUGCAGGGGGGCUGCAGGUGGGUCUGGGACAGGAGGAGGCUGCUGCUCUGGCUUGUCUUUGGUGCUGCAAAGAAAACCAAAGCCUUUUCUUAGUGUAUUUCCCUCGCUGGAUAUGGUUCAGAGAAGUUCAGCGUGGGGCCUGUCCUGAGAAACAUCGCAGGUGCCACGGCUGACAGCGUCCAGAGGCAGCGGAGAGGGAAACUGGAGCGGUACAGGGAAAACAGCUCCCUUCUUUCCUUUGAAGUGAUGCAGUGCUAAAGCCAGCCCUCUUGGAAAGCGAAGCGACUCUCUGGGUUGUGAAUUCACACGCGCCGAGGCUCCUUCAGAAAUCAUUUCCAACUUCUGUUAGCGGAGAGUUGCAAGAGAUCAAAGCCUUAGCCGUUCCCGAGUACACGAAGCACACCAAGACAUCCUGUAACUCCUGGAUCACAUUCAGCCUGUCCCUGCGCGGGUUUACCUCCAGAUCCUGGAAAGCGUGGUGCUCCCUAGCGAGCUUCGCAGCUCCGCUGGAGAGAAGCCUGGCAUGCUCUGCUGAAUAAUCCUCUAGGGAUUUUUGCGUGGUGCUGAAAACAAUCCUUCUGUCUGUCUUGGCAAACAGCUACAGAUAGAAAAGACAACACAGAACAGCCAGGUAGGCCAAUUUCUUGUUCUGGAAGAGAAGUAAAGCCUUGAAUAGGUGUCUGGAUUUCAGGUAUUUUUGCUGUGUGUUUGUUUUUUUUUUCUUCUUUUGCAUAUUGGAUUUUUCUGUGUCUGUAAAUGCUGGUUCUGGAGGAGAACAGGUUGUGUGUCUAAGUUUUCUUUACGUAGUGCCAGCUUUACUGGGUGAACGACACACAAAAGUAGAAGGAUCUGGGACCACUGAAGUGAGGUUUUAAGAAAGCUUUCCAACAACGGAGGGAAAGCACACAUUCAUUUUGCUGGCUUUGGAUCAAGGCCCCUCUUCUGCCUCCCUGAAGGGAGAUCCAGACCUCUUCUCUGUGUGCCUACACCUAAAAUGUUGUCGGUGUUGUCCUUGCUGAUGGCAACUGCAUUCUAGUUUAACAGCGAAGGCAUGAAAAAUGGGAACAUCUUGCCUCCAUCAGGAAAGGUUUUGCAUCGUAACUGGCUCCAGAGAAGACGUGCUCUAGCUCAUAGUGGGAGAUGAGUCAAUUAAUGAGUGUUGUUUGCUGGCCUGUUGUACAGUAAGUGAUAAAUGGUCUCCUGCCUUUAAAACUGGAGGGUGUAAGCCUAGAAGGCCAACUGGUGGACGCCCAAAGACUAUGAAUGUGAAGAACUGGUUAGAUGAAACACAUCCAAAGUUUCUUCUGAACUACAGAGAAAAAUGGCCACUUCUCCCUCAGAAUCCUGUCUUAUCUGACACAGGGUAUCUUCUGCCUUUCCCUCAUAUCUAAUGAUAUCUAUCUGGUUUGACUUUUAGCCCAGCAGUAAGACACUCUAGUCAUGUAUUUUCACCACACAGCAUUGCUUGUCUCUCUUUCUGCUUGUGAAUACAUGACAAUUUGGAUAUCCUGACACAAGCAAAAGUCCAACAGAAGCCUGCAUGAGAUUUGCUAAAGGAGUUUGCAAGGUAGAGGACUCUUUUUAUGCUAAAAUUAGCUUGCUGCACUAACCUUUGUGUAAAUCUCUGCAAAUUAUAAUGCAUUUUAAAAACAGUAUUAAAAGGAAAGGUUAAGGCCAUACUAUCAGUGUGUCGUGGUUUAACCCAGCUGGCAGCUAAACACCACGCAGCCGUUCGCUCACCCUCCCCC
rnacentral:lncRNA from 1 species